UUUGAAAUUAGAACAUUAAUUACCUAUCAAACUCAAUAUUUUGAAAUAUAAAAAACGUGUGUUUUUAUUCAAAUUGAUGUCCAUUUUAAGGCCUAUUUCAGCGCUAGAAAACACUUGGUCAGUUACAUAAUCGUAAAUUGAACAUAAAUUAAAUAUCGAUAUCACAGAAAACAAAAACAAAAAUCAUUACAUCUUGAGCGAUGGUAGCUAGACCAAUUCAAAUAACUUGAUCAGCAAGAGGCAUAAAAACAAUAAAGUUUAGAGAUAAAUCAAACAUGUGAAGUUGUUAAAUCGAAAAAAUAAAAAAAAAAUACUACGUUGAAUUUUAUUACAUCACUAAGAUCCAUCAUCACAAUUUCAUCGUCGUGGUCUUUGGCAAAAUUUCGCGAUUCGCGAGGAUCCCCGUCUUAUAGGUAGGACUCUAUGAUUGAAGAAAAAAAAAAAUAGUACACUUAUACUGAAUAUUAGAAGAUGAUCUCUCUUCCGGAUCGUUUUCUUUGAUAAACAGAGAUACAAUUGGGAUUCAUAUGCUGCGUCGUUGUCGGCAGUUGGAAUAAGAUGAGUUCGAUAGUGUUUUUUCUUUUUGAUGGAAUCCGAAAUGAAGAAGAUUCAAGAUGGGUUUCUGUGCCAUUUUUGGGCAAACGAGUUUGGCUGGCUCUUUGGAAGUUGAUUUAUUGUCACACUUUUGCCAUAAACGUAAUUUGUCAAAAUAGUUAAAGAAGUAAAAACUAUACAAAAUUUAAAAAUGGAAGACCGACACAAUCCCGAAAUUUUGAAUCCAGAAAACCCAGAAUCUUGAAAAUCCAAAAUCCAGAAAGUCCGGAAAACCCAAAAUCCAGAAAACCCUAAAUCCCGAAAACCCAAAAUCCCGAAAACCCAGAAUCCCGAAAAUCUAAAAUCCAGAGAACCCAAAAUCCCGAAAACCCAAAAUCCAGAAAGGCCAAAAUCCCAAAAAUAAAACAGAAAAAGUAAAAAACUCUUCAAAAUUGUAUUUCACUGAUAUUUUAAUUGAAGUAUAAAAUAAAACACCAAUU